rnacentral:rRNA from 1 species
CGCGUAGGAAUCUACCCAGUAGCGGGGGACAACUUGUGGAAACGCAGGCUAAUACCGCAUACGCCCUACGGGGGAAAGGGGGCUCUUUGAGCUUUCACUAUUGGAUGAGCCUGCGUAAGAUUAGCUAGUUGGUGAGGUAAUGGCUCACCAAGGCGACGAUCUUUAGCUGGUCUGAGAGGAUGAUCAGCCACACUGGAACUGAGACACGGUCCAGACUCCUACGGGAGGCAGCAGUGGGGAAUAUUGCACAAUGGGGGAAACCCUGAUGCAGCCAUGCCGCGUGUGUGAAGAAGGCUCUAG